rnacentral:rRNA from 1 species
GGUGAACGCUGGCGGCAGGCCUAACACAUGCAAGUCGAACGGCAGCACAGUAAGCGCUCUCCUUUACCGGUGGCGAGUGACGGACGGGUGAGGCGUACAUCGGCUUCUACUUUUACGGGGGUGAUAACGUAGGGAAACUUACGCUACUACCGCAUACAACCUACGGCUGGAAGCAGUGGAUCUUGGCACCUUGCGCGAGUCAAUGAGCCGAUGUCGGAUUAGCUAGUUGGCGGGGUAAAGGCCCACCAAGUCGACGCUCCGUAGCUGGUCUGAGAGGAUGAUCAGCCACACUGGAACUGAGACACGGUCCAGACUCCUACGGGAGGCAGCAGUGGGGAAUAUUGGGCAAUGGGCGCAAGCCUGAUCCAGCCAUACCGCGUGAGUGAAGAAGGCCUUCGGUUUGUAAAGCCCUUUUGUUGGGAAAGAAAAGCAGCGGAUGAAUACCCCGCUGUUCUGACGGUACCCAAAGAAUAAGCACCGGCUAACUUCGUG